UUGAUUGACAUGAUGGUUUAGAAAAUGCAAAGCUGUUAAACAAGCUCUCUGCAUCAGCCGCCAUAUAACAAAAAGGCUGUUGCGCAUUGUAUGCAGUUUAGAUUUUUCCUAUAUUUAAAUAACACCCUUUAGACUUUAUUCUGCUAACACCACCUUCUACCAGCGGCCCAAAAAACUGCAUUAGCCCCGAAUAAACACCACCUUCUACCCCCGCAGCAACCCCACCUCUAUGCCCACCUUCUUCCCCGCACGGCCGCACCUACCCUGCUCCCUUUCCCUGGUGUCGCGGCAGCCCAAGAUCCGCGCAGCUCCGGCGAGCUCGCCGCCACCCAUGAGCCUCUCCGUGUGACGUCGUCGCUCCUCACCACCUCCCUGCGUGUCCGCCGUUGCAGAUUGACUGUCGCGUGCAUCCGGGCGCUGCCAUCCACCGCGCCCACGCCGACGGACUCACCCUGCCACCGGCAUCUCCCCCUCCAGCCUUCUCCUCCCGGCGCCCCCGCAUUAGCUACAUCUGCCGAGGAGGCCGGAUCCCGCGAUGGGAGGGGGUGGCGGCCGUGAGUGUGUCCGUGAAGGCUAGAUCCAACGCUGGGAAGGGCCGGUGGCUGCGCGUGUGCCUAGGCAGGAUCUUGCGCUUUUGCACCAUGGAAACGGCAUCGCGGCCAUGGAGCUUCUGCUCCCGGUGAGGGAGGACGCCGGUUGGCUCUGCGUGGGGUACCCGCUCUGCGAGAUCCGGUGCACUGCAGUACGGUUCCGUAGGCGUCACAGUCCCCGGGCGGGCGCGUGCGCAGUGCAUUUGAGCAGUGAGGUGGCAUUCCAGCGCCAUCUGCCAUGGAUCUCCAGUCAAAGCUUGACGUAGCCAUCGCAGUCUCGCAGACAGUCUUGCUGAGAAGGAACAUAACCGGAAGCUGACCGUGGAGAACGAGAAGCUCCAGUACCGUGUCUCCCACCUCAUCCGAACAAUCAAAGAGGCGGAGUCAAGAUAGAAGAAGCCUCUGAUAAGCUGGAUGCAGUAAAACUAGUUCUAUUUUUUGUUUGGAGAGAGCCGUGAGGACGGUCAGCUCGCGAACCUGUCUUAUCUGCUCGGUCUUGUUGUCUGUCGGAGUUGGCUUGAACUGUUCUUGUGAGCUUGAUGAAAUGGGUCUGGUACGUGUAAGUUUAUAUAGCAGUAAUGUAUUGAUCAGGUCAGUUAUUUGUGUCAACGGACAUUGAACAGCGUGUUGCAAGCUUGGGGAUGGAUUUGAAGAAGCUGGAGAAGAAAAACAAUCUACGUGUGCAAAGCUUAUUCUUGAGUAGUGGUGUUAUUUCCUGGGUGCUAGGGUGGAACGCUUGGGAAUGGAUUUUGAAUUCGGGAGUUCGGAUGUGAUUCGUCGACAGAGAUAGGGGCAGUGUUCUUAGGCACCUUUGGACAUGCAGUUCGUCCACGUGUUUUUGUGUUUUCUUUAGCACUGUUGUUCAGUUUAGUUCUCUCGCAACGACGAAUCCCAAAAGUGCACUGUACUCCAGUUCAGAAAAAUUGAGGUUUGUUUUUGUU